UUUUUGUCUUUAGAUACAGUAUCUAAACUGAUGAGUCCUGUAAGGACGAAACAAAAG
rnacentral:hammerhead_ribozyme from 1 species